GUUUUCCCCUCCCUGUUGCUGAGUCCCAAUCCGCACCAACCCUAGCCGCCAUGCACAACUCCUUUGGCCAUCCGCACCAACCCUAAGCCGCCAUGGACAUCUCCUUUGGCCACAUCUCGGUCUACGGAGUUGUGAUGGGUGUCAAUUUGUCUUGCUCCUCAAUCUUAGCAGAUGAUGAAUUUGCCUGUCGUGAUUGGUUUUUUCCCACCCCACGAGUGUCACCUCGUUUGUCUGGCCGAUAAAGAUUGAAUCUUUCUCACUGUAUGGUUCAUGUUGGGUGUAGAUGAGACUGGGAGCAAGGCAUGUCGGGUGGGGGAGCCAGGCCGAGGUUGCAACCAAGCACCUCACUUCAUCAGAACAACAGAGUCAACAGGGAGCAGAUCAACUCUGAAACUACUGAAAAGUUCCAAGUUUUCAGUUCCAAAUUUUAGCAUUGGAAGCCUCAAGGCUCACAUCGUACUAGAGAUCAUGCCGGUAGGCAAGUAGAGUGAAUGAAGGCAGAUGUUUUUAGCAGUUAUGUUCGCUACCAACGUGUUAUCAUCUACUGACACUAGUGUAGUGUAAAAAACGUUCUUAUAUUAUGGGACGGAGGGAGUACUCCUUUUUUUGUGUGCCUACCACUUGCAGAAAAGACUGAUUGUACAUCAUCGAUUCCAUCUGGAUUAUGCCUAGGGCACUCUGGCCCCACAUUCUCCAUGAGCAAAUAGGUGAGGAAGCCUGAGUGAGAUCCCAUCCUCGUCGCCCUAGUGAAGAAACCUUUGCAGGAAACCUGGUAUUCCCUCUCGCCUAUCUGCUACGCCGACCCAUGUGCAAGGAAGGGCACUCUGGCCCAUAGCCGACACUUUCACCAUGAGCAAAGAGGAAGCACGAGCAAGAUGCCAUCCUCAUUGCCCUACUGAAGAAACCUUGGGAGGAAACACUCGUACGAUGCACCUGGCAUUCUCUCUCGCCUGUCUGCUACGCCGACCCAUGUGCAAGGAGGGAGCGAGGCCAUGUCGAGUGAAGGAACUGGGCGGAGGUUGCAACGGGAACAGCUUCGCUGACAUAAUAACUAGAUGAUUUGGGGCUGAGGAGAUGGUACGACAAUAGAUGAGGAUGAUGAGAUGAAUAGAUUGAUUGUGCAUUACCGAUUGGCACUCUAGCCCAAAGCUGACGUGUUCUCUACGAGCAAAGAGCUGAGGAAGCCCAAGCGGGAUGCCAUCCUCGUUGCCUAGUGAAGAAACUCUGGGAGGAAACACUGUGAUGCACCUGCAUUCCCUCUCGCCUAUCUGCUAGCCCAACCCAUGUGCAAGAAAAGAUUGAUUGUACAUUACCGAUUGCAUCUGGAUCUUCCUAGGGCAUUCUGGCCCACAGCCGACGUGUUCUCUGCGAACAAAGAGCUGAGGAAGCCCAAGCGGGAUGCCAUCCUCAUUGCCCUAGUGAAGAAACCCGGGAGGAAACACUCAGACGCACCUGCAUUCCCUCUCACCUCUCUGCUACCCCAACCCAUGUGCAAGAAAAGAUCGACUGUACAUUACCCAUUGCAUCUGGAUAUGCUCAGGGCACCCUGGCCCACAGCCGAUGCAUUCUCCACGUGCAAAGAGCCGAGGAAGCAUGUCUUCAUUGCCUUGGGAGGAACCCCCUGCCGUUCCCCUGCCUAUGUGCAAACUGUGAUGAUUCUAUACCAUCAUUUUGUAUGAACUUCGAUAUGCAAAAAUAGAUGGUAGUACAAGCGAGUGUUGUAACAGCAAGAUAGUGCUGAUUUCGAUUUGUCAAAGCUGGAACAAGCCAGUUCCCCAUUUGUCCAUGCAGAGUUCCAGAGACAAUUUGUAUGAGAAACGUAGCAGAAACAAGACACGUUUGUAUGAUAACAAAGAAUACGACGAAUGUCUGAUUUCGAUCUA